rnacentral:tRNA from 1 species
GGUGGCUCAGUGGUAGAACGCUUGCCUUGCAUGCAUGAAGCCCUGGGUUUGAUUCCCCAGCACCA